rnacentral:tRNA from 1 species
GGCGCCCUGCGGCGGCACGGGCGGAGCCGCCUGGGGCGCGGCCGGCGGGACGGGCGCGCCCGGCUGGUACGGCGCCUGCGGGGCGUUG